rnacentral:tRNA from 1 species
GUGGCGUGGGGGGUGUGCGGGGCAGGCGGCGCGCGUUCAGGCCUUGCGCAAUUGCAGGUCGGCGGCGGGCAGUGCGACGGUCGCGCCGUCGCGCACCGCG